AGGGGUGUGGCGUAACGGCUAGCGCAGUGGUCUCCAAAACCAAUGGUUGCAGGUUCGAAUCCUGUCAUCCCUG
rnacentral:tRNA from 1 species